rnacentral:rRNA from 1 species
GACGAAGGUGGCGAGCGUUGUUCGGAAUCACUGGGCAUAAAGCGCACGUAGGCGGUGUCGUAAGUCGGGUGUGAAAUCCCUCGGCCUAACCGAGGAACUGCGCCCGAUACUGCGAUGCUUGAGGACCAGAGGGGUGCAUGGAAUUUCCGGUGGAGCGGUGAAAUGCGUUGAUAUCGGAAGGAACUCCGGCGGCGAAAGCGAGGCACUGGCUGGUUUCUGACGCUGAGGUGCGAAAGCCAGGGGAGCAAACGGG